UGGUUCUGGCAUCGAUGAAGAACGCAGCGAAAUGCGAUAAGUAAUGCGAAUUGCAGAUUUCUAGUGAGUCAUCGAAUUUUUGAACGCAUAUUGCGCCCUUUGGUAUUCCGAAGGGCAUGCCUGUUCGAGCGUCAUUAUCACUUCUCAAGCUUGGGCUUGCUGUUGGAUUUGGUCGCAGUGCGUACCGCACGGCGACGGUCCGAAAGAUAAUGGCGGUGUCGAGUCCGACCCCUUAUACAAUGAGCUUUCACGGCACGUAUGAGUGGAUAGUUGGCCGACCCGGUUCAAACUAUAAACCAACCACAAAGAGGACCUCGGAUCAGGUAGGGAUACCCGCUGA
rnacentral:misc_RNA from 1 species